UUGGCGGUUAGAUCUGCCAUCUGAUUCCCUUUAGCCACAGCAUCUUAAGUCUUUCUCUGCAAAUGUCAACAGCCCUUUUUUGUCUAUAUAUUGCUCCAUGCAGUGGCAAAAGCAUACCUGCUGUCAGUGUAAAUGUUGAUAGACUUCCCGUUUGCCAUUCAUAGAGCUUGUAUCAAAGCCACAAGUUCAGUUUUCUGGGCUGAAGUUUCUUCAGGGAGGCUGCUAGCCCAGAUCACUUGCUUCCUGUCCACCACUGCUGCCCCCACCUUCCACUUACCUUCAACCAGGAAGUUAGUGCAUCCAUGUACAGAAUGUAAGUGCAGUGAUUGAGGAGGUGAACAGUCAUCAGUCUUAGGCAGUAGGGUAGCAGUAUUGAGGCCAGCAGGGGGAGCGAAGGUCACUCGUUCAGUCAACAAAAAGCUCUGCUAAUCCUAUGAGCAUUUGUAUCCAUUGGUCGGGGGGGCUGUCGGAUAAUGCUUUCAAGAGUGUGGGGUGUCACUACAGUUAUUUGCUGUCCCAGAGUGAGCUUAUCAGCAUCCUUGACAAGUAGAGCUAUGGCAGCAACAGCUUUCAGGCAAGAAAUCCACCCACUGGCAACAGGAUCUAACUUCUUGGAUAGAUCACGUAGCUGGCUCCCUCUUGUAAUACACCUUCCAAUCUCUGAAGUUUGUUUCUGAUAUCCGGAGCCGACUGCCUUAUGAAGGCCAGGGCCACUGAGGCCUUCUGAGAUUCUGAGUUGUGAAGAGCAUCUGCAGCAGCUGCUGACAAUCAUCCCAAAUAGGCUGAUGAGUCCAUCAGGAAUCUGCUCUGCGGCUCCAUGUAACCUCAGCGGUCUGCCUCCCGCUGACCGGACAGGCAAAAGAAUCAGACGAUUUCCAAGGGGGAAGCAUCCGCUUCAACAACAGAACUCAGUCCCUCUGACCGAUCUCCGGAGACUAACAGGCAUCCCUCCCUGGCUCUCCACACUUUCCAGGGCAUCCCCCAGGGCAGCAGCCCGUGGACCUCCUAGCACAUCUGCUGACCACAGUCCUCUGGUCCUUACGGCCCAAAAGGACACCUGCAAAUACAAAGCGCUUACAUUUCAGAAAAUCCCAUCUUCUACAAAUACUGCCCUCUGCUUCCACCGGAAUGACCAAAACUAGAGAAACCAAACUCAGGUGGACCCAAACAAACUCAGAUGGAUCAGAAUCCAAAACUCAAGCUGAUCAGUAUCUAAACUCAGGCUGAUCCAAACUCAGACUGUGCCAAGCUUCAGAAACAAAGGACGAGACACAGACAAACAAACCAAUACAAGCAUGUGUUCAUUUCAGAAAACAGAAAUCAGACACACAGAACAGAGACACUGGCCGGCAUGCACACAUUCCAAAGAGGAUCCCCAUACCUCUAAGUUGGUUCUCAGGUGUGUGGGGUGGUCGCAAUUCCCGGCCAAUGCACCAAAUAAAAGACCCACAACGUCUUUCCAACAAAUCCCUCCCCACCCCCUUGAGUUGUGGUUUCUUCCUUUAAAU